rnacentral:rRNA from 1 species
AACAGAGGGUUUGAUCCUGGCUCAGAUUGAACGCUGGCGGGAUGCUUUACACAUGCAAGUCGAACGGCAGCACGGACUUCGGUCUGGUGGCGAGUGGCGAACGGGUGAGUAAUGUAUCGGAACGUGCCUAGUAGCCGGGGGAUAACUACGCGAAAGCGUAGCUAAUACCGCAUACGCCCUUCUCCAGGAAAGCGGGGGACCUUCGGGCCUCGCACUAUUAGAGCGGCCGAUAUCGGAUUAGCUAGUUGGUGGGGUAACGGCUCGCAAGGCGACGAUCCGUAGCUGGUUUGAGAGGACGACCAGCCACACUGGGACUGAGACACGGCCCAGACUCCUACGGGAGGCAGCAGUGGGGAAUUUUGGACAAUGGGGGAAACCUGAUCCAGCCAUCCCGCGUGUGCGAUAGAAAGAGGCCUUCCGGGUUGUAAAGCACUUUUGGCAGGAAAGAAACGGCACGGGAUAAUACCCCGUGCAACUGACAGUACCUGCAGAAUAAGCACCGGCUAACUACGUGCCAGCAGCCGCGGUAAUACGUAGGGUGCAAGCGUUAAUCGGAAUUACUGGGCGUAAAGCGUGCGCAGGCGGUUCGGAAAGAAAGAUGUGAAAUCCCAGAGCUUAACUUUGGAACUGCAUUUUAACUACCGAGCUAGAGUGUGUCCAGAGGGAGGUGGAAUUCCGCGUGUAGCAGUGAAAUGCGUAGAUAUGCGGAGGAACACCGAUGGCGAGGGCAGCCUCCUGGGAUAACACUGACGCUCAUGCACGAAAGCGUGGGAGCAAACAGGAUUAGAUACCCUGGUAGUCCACGCCUAAACGAUGUCAACUAGCUGUUGGGGCCUUCGGAGCUUGGUAGCGCAGCUAACGCGUGAAGUUGACCGCCUGGGAGUACGGUCGCAAGAUUAAAACUCAAAGGAAUUGACGGGGACCCGCACAAGCGGUGGAUGAUGUGGAUUAAUUCGAUGCAACGCGAAAAACCUUUACCUACCCUUGACAUGUCUGGAAUCCCGAAGAGAUUUGGGAGUGCUCGCAAGAGAACCGGAACACAGGUGCUGCAUGGCUGUCGUCAGCUCGUGUCGUGAGAUGUUGGGUUAAGUCCCGCAACGAGCGCAACCCUUGUCAUUAGUUGCUACGAAGGGCACUCUAAUGAGACUGCCGGUGACAAACCGGAGGAAGGUGGGGAUGACGUCAAGUCCUCAUGGCCCUUAUGGGUAGGGCUUCACACGUCAUACAAUGGUCGGGACGGAGAUUAGCCAACCCGCGAGGGGGAGCCAAUCCCAGAAACCCGAUCGUAGUCCGGAUCGCAGUCUGCAACUCGACUGCGUGAAGUCGGAAUCGCUAGUAAUCGCGGAUCAGCAUGUCGCGGUGAAUACGUUCCAGGUCUUGUACACACCGCCCGUCACACCAUGGGAGUGGGUUUGCAAGUAGUUAGCCUAACCGUGGGAGGCGAUUACCACGGUAGGAUUCAUGACUGGGGUGAAGUCGUAACAAGGUAG